AUUGAACGCUGGCGGCAGGCCUAACACAUGCAAGUCGAGCGGCAGCGGGAAAGUAGCUUGCUACUUUUGCCGGCGAGCGGCGGUCGGGUGAGUAAUGCCUGGGAAAUUGCCCAGUCGAGGGGGAUAACAGUUGGAAACGACUGCUAAUACCGCAUACGCCCUACGGGGGAAAGCAGGGGACCUUCGGGCCUUGCGCGAUUGGAUAUGCCCAGGUGGGAUUAGCUAGUUGGUGAGGUAAUGGCUCACCAAGGCGACGAUCCCUAGCUGGUCUGAGAGGACGAUCAGCCACACUGGAACUGAGACACGGUCCAGACUCCUACGGGAGGCAGCAGUGGGGAAUAUUGCACAAUGGGGGAAACCCUGAUGCAGCCAUGCCGCGUGUGUGAAGAAGGCCUUCGGGUUGUAAAGCACUUUCAGCGAGGAGGAAAGGUUGAUGCCUAAUACGUAUCAACUGUGACGUUACUCGCAGAAGAAGCACCGGCUAACUCCGUGCCAGCCGCCGCAGUAA
rnacentral:rRNA from 1 species